rnacentral:rRNA from 1 species
ACCAUGCAAGUCGAGCGGAACGAGCUUAUCUGAACCUUCGGGGGACGAUAACGGCGUCGAGCGGCGGACGGGUGAGUAAUGCCUAGGAAAUUGCCCUGAUGUGGGGGAUAACCAUUGGAAACGAUGGCUAAUACCGCAUGAUGCCUACGGGCCAAAGAGGGGGACCUUCGGGCCUCUCGCGUCAGGAUAUGCCUAGGUGGGAUUAGCUAGUUGGUGAGGUAAGGGCUCACCAAGGCGACGAUCCCUAGCUGGUCUGAGAGGAUGAUCAGCCACACUGGAACUGAGACACGGUCCAGACUCCUACGGGAGGCAGCAGUGGGGAAUAUUGCACAAUGGGCGCAAGCCUGAUGCAGCCAUGCCGCGUGUGUGAAGAAGGCCUUCGGGUUGUAAAGCACUUUCAGUCGUGAGGAAGGUAGUGUAGUUAAUAGCUGCAUUAUUUGACGUUAGCGACAGAAGAAGCACCGGCUAACUCCGUGCCAGCAGCCGCGGUAAUACGGAGGGUGCGAGCGUUAAUCGGAAUUACUGGGCGUAAAGCGCAUGCAGGUGGUUUGUUAAGUCAGAUGUGAAAGCCCGGGGCUCAACCUCGGAAUUGCAUUUGAAACUGGCAGACUAGAGUACUGUAGAGGGGGGUAGAAUUUCAGGUGUAGCGGUGAAAUGCGUAGAGAUCUGAAGGAAUACCGGUGGCGAAGGCGGCCCCCUGGACAGAUACUGACACUCAGAUGCGAAAGCGUGGGGAGCAAACAGGAUUAGAUACCCUGGUAGUCCACGCCGUAAACGAUGUCUACUUGGAGGUUGUGGCCUUGAGCCGUGGCUUUCGGAGCUAACGCGUUAAGUAGACCGCCUGGGGAGUACGGUCGCAAGAUUAAAACUCAAAUGAAUUGACGGGGGCCCGCACAAGCGGUGGAGCAUGUGGUUUAAUUCGAUGCAACGCGAAGAACCUUACCUACUCUUGACAUCCAGAGAACUUUCCAGAGAUGGAUUGGUGCCUUCGGGAACUCUGAGACAGGUGCUGCAUGGCUGUCGUCAGCUCGUGUUGUGAAAUGUUGGGUUAAGUCCCGCAACGAGCGCAACCCUUAUCCUUGUUUGCCAGCGAGUAAUGUCGGGAACUCCAGGGAGACUGCCGGUGAUAAACCGGAGGAAGGUGGGGACGACGUCAAGUCAUCAUGGCCCUUACGAGUAGGGCUACACACGUGCUACAAUGGCGCAUACAGAGGGCGGCCAACUUGCGAAAGUGAGCGAAUCCCAAAAAGUGCGUCGUAGUCCGGAUUGGAGUCUGCAACUCGACUCCAUGAAGUCGGAAUCGCUAGUAAUCGUGGAUCAGAAUGCCACGGUGAAUACGUUCCCGGGCCUUGUACACACCGCCCGUCACACCAUGGGAGUGGGCUGCAAAAGAAGUAGGUAGUUUAACCUUCGGGGGGACGCUUACC